rnacentral:rRNA from 1 species
AGAGCGAACGCUGGCGGCAGGCCUAAUACAUGCAAGUCGAACGGAUCCUUCGGGAUUAGUGGCGGACGGGUGAGUAACACGUGGGAACGUGCCCUUUGGUUCGGAACAACUCAGGGAAACUUGAGCUAAUACCGGAUGUGCCCUUCGGGGGAAAGAUUUAUCGCCAUUGGAGCGGCCCGCGUCUGAUUAGCUAGUUGGUGGGGUAAAGGCCCACCAAGGCUACGAUCAGUAGCUGGUCUGAGAGGAUGAUCAGCCACACUGGGACUGAGACACGGCCCAGACUCCUACGGGAGGCAGCAGUAGGGAAUCUUGCGCAAUGGGCGAAAGCCUGACGCAGCCAUGCCGCGUGAAUGAUGAAGGUCUUAGGAUUGUAAAAUUCUUUCAGCGGGACGAUAAUGACGGUACCGCAGAAGAACGCCCGGCUAACUCGUGCCAGCAGCCGC